UCUAAUGAGGAAACACUUGAUAAUUAUACAUUUAAUACACGUUAGUCUGUGGUAAAAAGUUCAAUAACAUUCUCAUCUACACUGGUAUUUGUCAGUUCUGGAAAAAUACAAAACUGCCACCAAUAAACAAAAAUUAAUAAUAUAAUUAUAUAUUUAAAAAAUCAAUUAGAGUGAUCAUAUUUUCCAGUUAUCUGUUAGCUGGCUUUCAUCAUUGCAAAAUGUAAUGACAUUUAUUAAAAAUACAAUGUAACUUAAUUUACUUUUCUAAGUUGAUACAUGUUGGAAUCAAGCAUGUUGAGUGUCUUUAUAUUAGCAAAGAGUAUAGAAUUGCUUUUCUAUACUCUUUGAUAUUAGUCACCUCAAUCAAGUCAUUCGCACUUCUGUUUCAUCUUAAGAAAAGAAGUACAACAUGAAUUUAUAACUCUAUAAUGGGUCAUUUAAUUUUAAAGUCUAAAUUUUGAAAAAAUCAUGCACUGGGCUUAUUUAUAUUGAGAUAAUUAAUUUCAACAACAUUCACAUACAUUAUACACCCUUAUUUUUAUCUAUACAUUCAAAAGGAAGCAGGCUCAAAUUCUGGCAAGCAACAACACACUGAAUUACUUUCCCAAUACAGUAUAUAUUUCUAUCUGAUACCAGCACAUCCAAUUGUCAAAUGCCUAAAAUGAAACAGGAUGCAUAUAUUUCAACAUUUAUUGUGGUAACAUUUUGACAUAAACAGGAGGAUACAUGCAUGCCAUAAUGCCAAUCACAUGAGCAAAUACAAUUUUAUCAGUUAUGUUAAUAUCAGGGGAAAGUGCUUACCCCGCUAUAUGCAGCAAUUAAAUCUAGGCCGUGGAUAUUGUUUCGACAACAUUAUGUAAUUUUAAGGUGUAGAUUGGUGGAGCUGGCUUGACCCUAACCUUAAACUGCAGUCUCAAUGCACUAUGGCAUGUUGGAAGAAUAUCCAUAGUGUUAAAUCUAUUUUCAUUUCCAACUGUGUUAAUGUUAAUAUCCAGGGCCUCUUUACGUAUCAAAGGAAAGUAAUGGUCAUUUGGCACACUGUACUGGCACAAUAGGAAAGUGAUUUCCAAUCAGUGUAGCGAACUACUGUCUAUGUUAAUAUUAAGAAAAACUGCUUGUUCCACAAACAUGUUUUUACUGACGAAUUAACAGAAAGUGCUUGCCCUUUAGUGUAGCACUUGUCUUUUGGCCCACUGUAGCUGGCCCAAAAGGUAAAUUACUGUCACAAGUUGAGCACUUGCCCUUUGGCAUACAGUGUGCUGGAACCAAACAUGCUUUCAGAUAUAGCAAUAUCAGGCCCACUGUACUGGACCCCCCAAUUUUUACAGUGUGCUCAAUAUUUUCCCUUUGGUUGGUUUCGAUAUUUAAGGAAUUCCCUUAUAAAUAAGAACAUGAUUAUUAACAGAGUUAAAUAUAUGUGACCUUUAUAAUGGCAUAAUAUCCUGUUGACUGUGGACAAAUUACAUACUCUUAAAUUACAGGUCUCAUACACACCAUUCAUUAAAAAAAACCCCUAAAUAUUAUAUCUAAUUGUGAAA